UAUAGCUUUCCAGGACUUAGCUGUUUACAUACGAUCUCCCCCAGUAGACAGCAAACUUCUCAAAUAAUCCAAAGAAGUAUGGAGAAGCUCUUAUUAACUGAUGUAAAGUGAAGAAAGCAUCAUCAAGAAAAACAGACAUACUCUCUCAGAUAUACACAUAUAUGAUGAUUUAGAACAAUGUAAAUGAGAAGACCAAAAAAGGAAAAAAAAAAAAAAAAAGGAAACAAAGC